AGUUUUAUAUUCAAAUAAAUGAUAUUAAAUUGCAAAUUUAAAGGUGAAUUUUAUUCUAAAGCUU
rnacentral:tRNA from 1 species